rnacentral:rRNA from 1 species
ACGCUGACAGAAUGCUUAACACAUGCAAGUCAACUUGAAUUUGAGUUUUUAACUUAGAUUUGGGUGGCGGACGGGUGAGUAACGCGUAAAGAACUUGCCUCACAGCUAGGGACAACAUUUAGAAAUGAAUGCUAAUACCUGAUAUUAUGAUUUUAAGGCAUCUUAGAAUUAUGAAAGCUAUAUGCGCUGUGAGAGAGCUUUGCGUCCCAUUAGCUAGUUGGAGAGGUAACAGCUCACCAAGGCGAUGAUGGGUAGCCGGCCUGAGAGGGUGAACGGCCACAAGGGGACUGAGACACGGCCCUUACUCCUACGGGAGGCAGCAGUGGGGAAUAUUGGACAAUGGACCGAGAGUCUGAUCCAGCAAUUCUGUGUGCACGAUGAAGUUUUUCGGAAUGUAAAGUGCUUUCAGUUGGGAAGAAAAAAAUGACGGUACCAACAGAAGAAGUGACGGCUAAAUACGUGCCAGCAGCCGCGGUAAUACGUAUGUCACGAGCGUUAUCCGGAUUUAUUGGGCGUAAAGCGCGUCUAGGUGGUUAUGUAAGUCUGAUGUGAAAAUGCAGGGCUCAACUCUGUAUUGCGUUGGAAACUGUAUAACUAGAGUACUGGAGAGGUAAGCGGAACUACAAGUGUAGAGGUGAAAUUCGUAGAUAUUUGUAGGAAUGCCGAUGGGGAAGCCAGCUUACUGGACAGAUACUGACGCUAAAGCGCGAAAGCGU